UUAAAACCAACUACACAACUCCGUACAACUUUACACAACUCUGUACAACUGUACACCGUUCUAUAAAAAAAAAAGUUAAAGUUAAAGCAGAUCGUAUCGAGGUGCGUGUGAACAGUUAAAGCAGAUCGUAUCGAGGUGUGUGUGAACAGUUAAAGCAGAUCGUAUCGAGGUGCGUGUGUGAACAGUUAAAGCAGAUCGUAUCGAGGUGCGUGUGUGAACAGUUAAAGCAGAUCGUAUCGAGGUGCGUGUGUGAACAGUUAAAGCAGAUCGUAUCGAGGUGUGUGUGUGUGAACAGUUAAAGCAGAUCGUAUCGAGGUGCGUGUGAACAGUUAAAGCAGAUCGUAUCGAGGUGCGUGUGAACAGUUAAAGCAGAUCGUAUCGAGGUGUGUGAGUGAACAGUUAAAGCAGAUCGUAUCGAGGUGCAUGUGAACAGUUAAAGCAGAUCGUAUCGAGGUGUGUGUGUGAACAGUUAAAGCAGAUCGUAUCGAGGUGUGUGUGUGGACAGUUAAAGCAGAUCGUAUCGAGGUGUGUGUGAACAGUUAAAGCAGAUCGUAUCGAGGUGCAUUUGAACAGUUAAAGCAGAUCGUAUCGAGGUGUGUGUGAACAGUUAAAGCAGAUCGUAUCGAGGUGUGUGUGUGUGAACAGUUAAAGCAGAUCGUAUCGAGGUGUGCGUGUGAACAGUUAAAGCAGAUCGUAUCGAGGUGUGCGUGUGAACAGUUAAAGCAGAUCGUAUCGAGGUGCGUGUGAACAGUUAAAGCAGAUCGUAUCGAGGUGUGUGAGUGAACAGUUAAAGCAGAUCGUAUCGAGGUGCAUGUGAACAGUUAAAGCAGAUCGUAUCGAGGUGCAUGUGAACAGUUAAAGCAGAUCGUAUCGAGGUGUGUGUGAACAGUUAAAGCAGAUCGUAUCGAG